rnacentral:rRNA from 1 species
UACGAAGGGUGCAAGCGUUAAUCGGAAUUACUGGGCGUAAAGCGCGCGUAGGUGGUUCGUUAAGUUAGGAGUGAAAGCCCCGGGCUCAACCUGGGAAUUGCUUCUAAAACUGGCGGGCUAGAGUAUGGUAGAGGGUGGUGGAAUUUCCUGUGUAGCGGUGAAAUGCGUAGAUAUAGGAAGGAACAUCAGUGGCGAAGGCGACCACCUGGACUGAUACUGACACUGAGGUG